AGCCAUGCCCUCGAAAGCACCUUGGUCCAAUCCCAUCGCCCCGCACGCCACAACCCCUCCCUCCCUCUUCGAUAUCUCUCCCUCCUCAGCCGCCACAAACCCUAGCCCCAUUUCCUACAAUCCAGCGGUCGCUACCCCUCCUCCAUCCGACCUCCGCCGUCAGCCGCCGCCGCCGCUACGGCUUCUCUGUCCACCGACUGCGUGCGUGCAGGUGGCCAGUUUCCUUCCGCCCCGACCUUCUCCAUUGUCUCCCCAGUUCACCCCCAUCCCUUGCUGCCCGAGGUGCUCAUCUUCCCAGGUCGUGAGGAAGCCGCGUGAGGAUGUCUCCACGGUAAUCGGGGAACCACCAUGGCGUGCCGCCGGGGGAAGCCUUGGAUCCAUGCAGGGGGCCUCCCCGGGGGCGCAGAGGAGGGGGUGUGGAGGCGUGAGGCCAGAAGGAGUUUGGGAUCGCUGGAGGAGCACAGCCCGCACGGGGGCUGGUUAUCGCCAGAGCAGAGGGGAGGAGGUCGAUGCAGGGGAUGCCAUGUAUGGUCGGGGCGCUGGAUCCGCCUUUCCCCAUGCCACCGCUGUCCUACGUCAACGAUGCCGCCAUGGCCUUCUCUCCACUGACCUCUUUCCACGAAUUUUUGCCUUCAACGCUAAGGGACGGUCUGUAGGCUAGCGGUAGCGGGAUGGAAUCCCCUUGUCCAGUACCAGCCGGUGAAGAUGGAAGGAAGCCACGGGUACCUCAAGGCUUAGGAACUUUUUGGGAUAACUGAGUUGGUCAAUGUCAAAAAUGGAAAAGGAGAAGGAAAUCACCAUUCGAUUUAUGAUUGGGCGUAGGUUGGAGGCAUUGGCGUGAAGGUGUCGUGAGUUAUCUGCAAGGGCAUUGUUGUGACGUGCUCCUCCAUAUCUCCUGCGAGUUAUUGGUGUGGCGAUCAUGGCUCCAGAUAGCAGCGCUUCAAGGUCACUUAAGCCUGAAUGAGUUAUCAAGUCUACUGGAACUAUUCAUGUUUAGGCUUGUUCAUUGGUUUUCGAACAGACAGUCCCUUAAGUAUGUUUGAUCACAAUUAAAAGGAGGAAGUCAGAUUAUUGCAAUGUGUGGCUGCAGGUAAAGUUGUCAAGAUGAUCUGGUGCUUGCUCGAGCCGUUGAUUACUGCUGCUUUGCUAAGGUUCAAGGUAACCCCUUUACCAUGAUGACUACCAGAGUGACCUUCGAUGUGUAUAGAUGGUGAUGCAUAUGGGGACAGACAAGAACUAGCGAACUUAAUAUCAGAUUCCCUCAACUAUGAAUUCUUUAAUUAUUGAAGGCUUUCAUAUUCAUAUCAAUACAAGGCGGAAUAUGAUGCAGGUGAAUGCCUUUAUUUUGUUUCUUUACGAUCUUCUCCUCUACUUAAUGAUAGAUGCAGUGUAUAGGGUCAUCGAGUCAGUUUGAAUGCUUUCGUGACAACCGGUAUAGCACUGAAUCAGGCAAGGUGUGAAUAAGUGUGCUUAAAUGCUUGCUUUGUUUAUGUGUUUACUGCUUACUUUGUUGUACAAGUUCCACUUUUGAAUCUGCCCUCUUUUAGGCACGUGUAUUUCCCACAAAUAUGUUGGUAAAUGUGUGCACUACAUAGUUUUCAGGCCAACUGGAUUACGAGAGCCUCCUCCUUCUUCCCCUCCUCACUAAGGAGGUCAGAUCGAUCUAGCAUCUUUUCCCCUAAUUUAGGGGUCCUCCCAUGGCCCCUCCUCUACUCGGCUCUCCUCUGUCCUAUUUCUCCUCUAUCAAAAAUACGAAAACUACCACGAAAAUAAGUGAUGCUUGCUGCUCUUCACUGCUAAAUAUCAUGAUGAAGUAUAUCAAGUGACAUCGUCCCAGAAGAAGAGAUGAGCAUUCAAUAUACAAAGAAAAAAAUCAGGUCCAAUAUUUGCAUGAAUACUGAUUCUGGCAACAUGUUAAUGAUUCAUAAAUAAUCUCCCGUUUCCUCUAACCUAUGUAUGUCUUUCUAUAUUAAUUCAUAAAAAUGAAUCAGCACAGUUCAUAUUUGAUUUCAAGAUAAAGAAAUUUGAAAGAUGUAUAAGAGGUGAAUCAAAUGACAUUAUUUCAAAGUUGUACAACAUAUAUCAUCACUACUAGAAAACAUUUUGUAGGAGGGUGCAUUUAAUCUUCUGUACUAAAUUCUUCAUUGCCUUCCCAUGAUUGUUGGAGUACAAUUCUCACAGGAGGUCCCGUUAAUGUUAUAUUUAGAGGGUGUCAAGUUUAGACCAUCGUGCCUACGGUAACAUUUCAUAAAAUCCACGCUAAUCUUAUGUGGGGUUCAAGUCGGAUAUCUAGGGUAGUUCUAUUAAUUCCUGAAUGGUUGCUCGGGUAGUAAUGAAUUUAUUUAUUUAUUUUUCUUCUUCUAGCUGUUGUCAAAUACUUAAGCAUUUCCCUUUCAUACUAUUUUAGAUUUAAAAUGAGAGUUGCCAUUCUCCAACAAGUAUAGUCUUGGGUUAGUUGUUGACAGCUCAAGUGUAGUGUACAUCAGUUACACAUGAAUAGAUUGCUUUUUAGUGUACUGCACCAUUUAAAUGGAAAACUUAUUACACUAAUGUCAUUCUCCAGUAAGCAUAGUUGGAUGUACAUCAGUUAAACUUCUUCUAAAUGUUGUUAAAUGCUCAAGUACUUUCCUUUCAUAUUAUCAGUUACACCUGACAGGUUGCUUGAGAAGGUGCAGUACACUACAUCACUAAACUCUACAGUAAUGGAUUGCUGGAGAAGGGUGCAGUACACUGAUGCCAUACUAUGUUACACUGGUGCCAUUUCCGAGCUAGAUCAAAGCCAUUAUUAUUCCUCAGAUGGCGCAAUGGAAUAUGGCCAUUUAUAUUUCUUAUUUGUUAACAGUGUUGUGUACUAUAGAUGAAUUAUUAAUUAAACCUGAAUGUCGCCGACUCGACAGGACAGUGGUAGCGACCUGUUUAACACCAGGUGUUGCAGGUACUCUCUGAUUGCAAAGGAUGUUUAGAAUCAGAACAAAACUAGGUAUUGUGUCUUGUGGCAUGCUGAGACUUUCAAGAAAGAGGUCCUUAUCAGAGAAGCAUUCUCUUCUUACAACUGAUGUAUGAUAUGAUUUAGUCCAAUCCUUAUUUCUCUGGGGCAUCAACAAUGUAAGCCUGUUCGAUUCA